GUCACUUAUUUUGUACACAUAUCUUGCUAUCUGCAACUGCUGAGAUUUUUCCAGUGAUUAUUUCAAAUAAGGUAAGAGAGACCAUGAGUAAAAGAACAAGGAGUCCAAGGUUGGAAUUGAAGCUGAACUUGUCCCCACCAAGGACACCAACCUCAUCAUCUAUAUCUGCCAAUCUACCAUUGGAUUUUUCGAUAUCAUCAUCAUCAUCGCCAUCAUCAGUAUCUACUCAUUCAUCGGAAGACUCAUCGUGCCUUUCUUCUGAAGCCGAAAAGACAAGAGCCAUGCUCCUCGUAGGUUGUCCUAGAUGCCUAAUGUAUGUUAUGUUAUACGAUGUUGAUCCUAAAUGCCCCAAAUGCAAGAGCACAGUGUUGCUUGAUUUUCUCAACAAUGAGGAAAAGACAAAGAAGACAAGCAUCUAAUUAAGAUAUGCAUGGACACAUUAUUCUAUACAUGAUGACUAAGAAGAUUUGUUGCAUGUCUUUGCAAUAUUAUGUUUCUGUUUCUCAUCUGCAUUUUUCUUCUUGUGGUUAUGUUGAUUUUUUGUGUGAAACAUUGGAAGAGACUUUUAAUUUUGGUUUUUGUCAUGAUAAUAUUUUCAGUUAUGCACGUAAUACUUUACUCAUGCAUGAUGUUACCCACCUAUUUUGUUUCUAAAGCAUGCAAAAGUUUUUG
rnacentral:lncRNA from 1 species